GGAGAGAUGACAGAGUGGUCGAAUGUGCUCGCUUGGAAAGCGUGUGUGUCCUAAUACGGCACCGAGGGUUCGAAUCCCUCUCUCUCCGCCA
rnacentral:tRNA from 1 species